ACACCUAAAAGAUUUCAGCUAACCCUGACCAUUUUGAGCUAAUCUAAGCCCAUCAAACCACCAAAACAA
rnacentral:tRNA from 1 species